CAACAUCAACAUCACAAGAUUCCAUCUGUAAAAUGGAGAAAUCAAAUAUUUCAUCAAUCUUAUGGAAAAACAGAAUUAACAAAGUCUUCAGUGAUAAAGAGGCUAGAGAAUGUACUUUAUUCUCACUAUCCACCUGUCGAAUCUAGCUUCUAAGAAAAUUAUUGUGUAUAUAAGUCAUCGAUCGAUCAUUUCCCUCUUAUUAUUGUAAUAUUGUUAUUGUUAUUAUUAGUGUUAUUUACUAUUACUAAAUUAUUAGUUAAUUAUACUAAUAAGUAAUAACAAUAUGUAGUAUGUAGUUAUGUACUAUUAAUGGUGGGUUGGAAUGUUUGCUCAGUCUAAACCAAGACCAAAGAAAGGUAUGAAAGUCGAUCUUUAUCUGAGAAACUUGUUAGUGCCAUACAUUUUGGGGCUAAAAGAAUAAAUGGAUGUUAAUGACAUUGCCAUCAAAAAAUCAUGCUUCCUUGUGCAUCCAUAGUGCAUGCAUAUGUACUUUGAAGUUUGAACUUGUGAAGAACUUCACUUUGACUGUUAGCUGCAGCUACAGGGCAUUGGCAGCAAUUAGUCUACCAGUUAAUCACCCAUCAUCUUCUGGACUCAGAAAUCAGAAGUACUAUACCAAAGCAACUCGCAAAAGUCGCAAGCGAGGCCCAGUUGAUUUUUGGGCCUACUCUUAGGCUGUCAGAGUGUCAUUUUGUACCAAGUUUUCAUCCAAUGAAAAAAAAUUUCAGUAGAGUUGUUCAGUGAAAUGGUAGAUAGUGAAAUCUUAGUUCAAUAAGGCAUUGCGAUUUCUUAACUACAACAUUCAUGGAAACAAAGACAACACAGAAUGUCAUGACAGUGUAAAUGGAAUUAUACCAUCAAAACCCCAAAUUCAAACUGUUUACACCAUAAACAUCUAAAACUAAAAAAUCCCAAAUCCUAUAAUUUACUAAACAAUCCAUUCAAUCCCUAAAUUAAUCAAACCCACAUCUUAAAAUUAAAAGUAAACAAAAAGUUCAUCAAUAAAAUUGAUAAUAAAUACUUACCGUAACAGUAGUGGCAGUAGUAAUAGUUGUUGAUGGUGGUGAUGGUGGUGGUGGUGGUGGACUAACAGGAAAUAACUUUCAAUGACGGUGGUAGUAGUUGUUUCAUGAUCUUGUUUAGUGGAAGAAGAAGAUAAAGAUGAGUUGAAGGAGAAGAAGAUAAAAGAUGAGUUGAAGGAGAAGAAGAUGAAGAUGAAUGAAGAAGGAGAAG
rnacentral:lncRNA from 1 species